GGAAGGAUCAUUAAUAAAUGCUUCAUUGCAUCCACCUUUUGUGCACUGUAAAUUUUUCACUUGAAUUUUGUCUGAUUAAUCUUUGUUCUGAAUGGAACAUGAAUUAUAAUCUAAUACAACUUUUAACAAUGGAUCUCUUGGCUCUCGCAUCGAUGAAGAACGCAGCGAAAUGCGAUAAGUAAUGUGAAUUGCAGAAUUCAGUGAAUCAUCGAAUCUUUGAACGCAUAUUGCGCUCUCUGGCAUUCCAGAGAGCAUGCCUGUUUGAGUAUUGGUACAAUGGGUUAUCUUCCUUCGAAAUUCGAAGUAAAUUUUUUUAAACCCUAUUGAGACGUCUUGGCAAUCUUUUUUGACGAGUGUCUUAAAAUUCAAUAUGACAUAAGCGAGGAGCAACUGUGGGAGUAAUACGGUAGGGUGGGAGAAACUCCUCUUUGGAGUGACUUUUACUUUUACUUUUACUUCUGAAUUGGGUACUCUGAUGCUGAAACUAGGCUUGAAUGUCCUUGAAGUCGACAUUCAAUAAAGUUCGGAGCCGAACAAUAAACUCAAUCUCAAAUCAGGUAGGAUUACCCGCUGAACUUAAGCAUAUUAAUAAGCGGAGGAAAAGAAACUAACAAGGAUUCCCCUAGUAACGGCGAGUGAAGCGGGAAGAGCUCAAAUUUGGAAUCUGGGUAGGUCUCCUACUCCGAGUUGUAAUCUAUAGACGUGUUUUCGGCGGUUGUGUUGGUAUAAAUCCUUUGGAACAGGGUAUCAUAGAGGGUGAAAAUCCCGUCUUUGACUGACAUACAACUGCCAUGUGAUACAUGUUCGAAGAGUCGCAUUGUUUGGGAAUGCAGUGCAAAUUGGGUGGUAAAUUUCAUCCAAAGCUAAAUAAUGGCGAGAGACCGAUAGCGAACAAGUACCGUGAGGGAAAGAUGAAAAGAACUUUGAAAAGAGAGUUAAAUAGUACGUGAAAUUGUUAAAAGGGAAACGCAUGAAAUCAGUAAUCUUUACAGCAAAUCAGCCAGCCAUUGCGCGUUUUUCGUGCAAAGGAUGGUGCACUUUGCUGUGAGGGAGUCAACAUCAGUUUGGGCUGAUGGACAUACCUCCGUGGAAGGUAACCACUUUUGUGGUGUUUAGCCACGGAAGGAAUACAUCGGUCUGGACUGAGGUCUGCAGCACACUUUUUGCGGAACAAACUAGUGCUGUCGACUGCUUAACGGCCCUCAACUUGUUGAGUGUCGUAAAGUAAGCGGCAACCACUGGCCUCUGUUACUUUUGUGCUUGGGAUGUUGACAAAAUGGUUUUAUACGACCCGUCUUGAAACACGGACCAAGGAGUCUAACAUAUAUGCGAGUAUUUGGGUGUCAAACCCACAUGCGGAAUGAAAGUGACAAUGAUGGGACCUGCAAAGGGCACCAUCGACCGAUCUUGAUAUUUUUGGAUAGAUUUGAGUAAGAGCAUAUCUGUUGGGACCCGAAAGAUGGUGAACUAUACUUGAAUAGGGUGAAGCCAGAGGAAACUCUGGUGGAGGCUCGUAGCGAUUCUGACGUGCAAAUCGAUCGUCAAAUUUGAGUAUAGGGGCGAAAGACUAAUCGAACCAUCUAGUAGCUGGUUCCUGC
rnacentral:misc_RNA from 1 species